rnacentral:lncRNA from 1 species
UGCAGCUUGAGAUCCUCGCGGGGAAUUGGGCCUCUGCAAUUUCAAGGCCCAAUGUCUUUGCUUUUAAUGAAGAAAGACUCAGAAAAGUGAAGUGAUUAGCCAGGGAGGGCUGAGUAGGAAUGGUCUUCACGGCCCAAUGCAUCGGGCAUUUGCCGUGUAACGGGAGUGGUUAGGAGCACCUGGCCUGAAGUGUCUUCUUGAAUCUUCUCUGGUCUGUUUUGUCCCCAUGGUAUGGUAAGGAAUAGGGACAGUCAAGUCUUCAGUCUUCAGCGCCUGGGUUUUUCCUGUCACGGAUGCCACCUCUCUCUAGCUUCAUGGAAGGGACUCGAAUGUUGCCAACGUUCAGCUGCUGUGUCCUCAGCUUUCUUGUAGCUCCAUAGCUGUGCUGUGGCUGUGGGGAAGGAGCCCCUGAGAAGCGAUCAUCUGCAUGGUCUCUGGCAGCCCUGUUAGGAUCAUAUUGUGAUUGGCCAGGAAACAGCCCGGGGAGGAAACAGCCAGAUUCUUGUUUAAGAUCAGCAUUGGCUGUGAAAACCACACAGCCUAAUUCUCGCCUCCAUUCAUGAACAAGAAGGAGGGGAAUUACAGAAAGAGCUUCACAUUUCAGUCCUUCACAUGCCUGGAGUUAGCGUGAGGAGGCUUUAUGGCCCAACACUCGGUAGCACCUCAUCGACUAUCCCCAGCUCAAAGCAUGCACAGGAGGAAACAAAAAUAAAUCUUUAUUUGAGUAUGCUCCUGUUUUACAUUCAAGUAGCUGUCCGUGUGUCUUCAAUAGCAAAUCAUCUUGGUGAUGAUAGAUCAUAAGCUCAAGAGGGAAUUGCCUCAGGAGAACAGGUACUUAAUCAUCAGGGUUGGAUGGAGGUUGCCUCAUCCUAGAGUUUGGGGGUGGGGGGUGACCUCCA